AAGAAAAGAAAGGAGGGAGGGAGGGAAGGAAGGAAGGAAGGAAUGGAAGGAAGCAAGGAAAAGAAAGAAAGAAAAACAAAAUAACAAAAUGACCUGAGAAGGAAAAGAAAUAAUCAGAGACAUUAAAAAUAAUCGCCGGCGGAUGGGUCUGGUGGCUCAUGCCUGUAAUCCCAGCACUUUGGGAGGCCAAGGCGGGAGGAUCACCUGAGGUCAGGAGUUUGGGACCAGCCUAGUCAACAUGGUGAAACCCCGUCUCUACUAAAAAUACAAAAAUUAGCCGGGCGUGGUGGCGGGCACCUGUAGUCCCAGCUACCCAGGAGGCUGAGGCAGGAGAAUCGCUUGAAUCCGGGAGGCGGAGGUUGCAGUGAGCCAAGAUCACGCCACUGCACUCCAGCCCGGGCAACUGAGCGAGACUCCAUUUCAAAAAAAUAAGUAAAUAAAAAAUAAAAAGCAAUAAUAAUAGCCGACAACAGAAUACAGCUAGGCCGAGCAGCAGCCUCCUCUGCUGUCCGUGCGGCUCGCCUGUUGCCUGCUUCACUGCCUGACUGUGGGCUCUGUUUGUCUUGGUCCCCGUGGCAUUACCAGAGCUUAGCAGAUAAGGAGGAGCUUCAUACAUAAUUGUUGGCGUGAACAAAGGAAUGCAUGGUUAACUACGUCAGAAAUGACCAGUUCAAGAGGAGAAUGAGAUUGGCUUCCAAAUGUUGGUCAAGAGCUCUACGUAGCAUGAGCCAAGGAUCUAUUGAACUUAGUAGGCUCCUGUGACCGGUGACUCUUCUGUCUCUAGAAAUCUGGGGAGGUGACCAGGUCAUACAUGGCAGUCUUCCCGUGAGGAACGUUAAACUGGUUGGAAGUUGGGGUUCUGAGGGGAAGAUGUAUUCACUAGGUGACCUGUCUUCUCUGCCUCGGUGGCCUCCAUGGCUGCCUGCUGGCCGCACACCCCCACUCAGCAGAGGAAUGGACUUUCCAAUCUUGCUGAGUGUGUUUGACCAAAGGUGGUGCUGACUUAGUGGCCUAAGGUCGUGCCCUCCCUCCCCCACUGAAUCGAUAAAUAAUGCGACUUAUCAGAAAGAGAAAGAAUUGUUUACUUUUAAACCCUGGAUCCCAUAAAGGGAGAGGGGAGAGGCCUAAAGCCACAGAAGCUGUGGAAGGCGCCAUCCUGCCUGCCACAGGAAGGGCCUUGGACUGAGAGGACCGGAGCUGACUGGGGAUUAUUCAAAGCCAAAAGCCAACAGAGCCCCCAUGGAGAAGUGGAGGAUGCUCAGAUACUGCUAUGGAGCCCUGAGAAGUGAAAUGGGUCCAAGCCCUUGCCCAGGAUAGAGCGCUCCAAGCGCAUCCUCCGGGGACCCUUUUAAUCAGUGAAUUGUUCACCUCUCACUGUUUCUUCCCAGCAGAGCUAAGAGACUUCUAGAGCCUCUUGUGGAUGGUCAGCGAUAGCCCUGAAGAUUGAACAUUUGAGCAAGACCAGAUGCCUUUAUAUCCAAUAGAUGCCACGGAGAGUAGAUCAC
rnacentral:lncRNA from 1 species